UUUCCGUAGGUGAACCUGCGGAAGGAUCAUUAAUGAGUUGUCAUGGGGUUCGAUGCUGGCAGCCAAUUUUUGGAUGCAUGUGCUUGCCCUAACAAUCAUCUUCCAAACACCUGUGCACAUUUUUGAGGGAGUCUUGCGUUGGUUGCCGCUCUUGGGUGAUUUUCUCACAUUCCCUUAAAUCAUUAUACGCUAUUAACAAUGUUGAACGUGCUCUGUGCCGCAAGGCCAUUAAUAUAAUACAACUUUUAACAACGGAUCUCUUGGCUCUC
rnacentral:misc_RNA from 1 species